GGCUUAUUGAAAUUGAUUUUAAGUUUGACCUGCCCAAUGAUUAUUAAUUUAAUGGCCGCAGUAAUUUGACUGUGCAAAGGUAGCACAAUCAUUAGUUUUUUAAUUGAAAGCUUGUAUGAAAGGUUUGAUGAAAAAAUUUCUGUCUCUAUUUAAAUUUAUUAGAAAUUUAUUUUUAAGUGAAAAAGCUUAAAUGUUUAUAAAAGACGAGAAGACCCCAUAGAGUUUUAUAAUUGUAUUAUUUGAUUUAAUUUUAGGAUUCUAAAUUUAAUUAAUAUAAUUAUUUAAUUGGGGUGAUUGAAAAAUUAGAUAAACUUUUUUUUAUUUAGGACAUUUAUUUAUGAAUUUUUGAUCCUUAUAUAAAGAUUAAAAGAUAAAAUUACCUUGGGGAUAACAGCGUUAUUUUUUUUUAGAGUUCUUAUCGAAAAAAAGGAUUGCGACCUCGAUGUUGGAUUAAAAAGAAAUAUUGGUGAAGAAGCUGAUAAUUUAGGUCUGUUCGACCUUUAAAAUUUUACAUGAUCUGAGUUUAAACCGGUGUAAG
rnacentral:rRNA from 1 species